rnacentral:rRNA from 1 species
CCUACGGGAGGCAGCAGUGGGGAAUAUUGCACAAUGGGGGAAACCCUGAUGCAGCGACGCCGCGUGAGUGAAGAAGUACUUCUGUAUUUAAAGCUCUAUCAGCAGGGAAGAAAAUGACGGUAGCUUACUAAGAAGCGCCUGCCAACUACGUGCCAGCAGCCGCAGUAAUACGCAGGGGGCACGCGUUCUCUGGAUUUACUGGGGGUAAAGGGAUUGUAGACGGCUAGACAAGUCACACGUGAAAGCCUAGGGCUUAACCCUGGGACUGCCUGUGAAACUGGCGGGCUGGAGUGCGCGAGAGGUAAGCGGAAUUCCUGGUGUAGCGGUGAAAUGCGUAGAUAUCAGGAGGAACCCCAGUGGCGAAGGCGGCUUACUGG